UUUGUGGGUUAACUACCUCCUAUCUCAACUUUGUAGUCAAGUAUUCUGUUACUGCUCUGUAUAAUGUAACUUUAAUAUAUAUUUCCUUUUGAUUUUAGAUUUUGUAUGUGGUAUUCUUCUUAUCAUCCUAUGAUAUCCUUUAUAUGCAUGCGUAUAAUUGAGAAUAUCGGGAGAGCAUCUUCAAUUGAAAAUGUCAUUGACAACUCACAUACAACUGGAUUAUGUGAUGGUUCUUUCACUGCAGUCUUAGACUAUGCACUUUUCUUUUCUAAGAAGUUUGUCAAGGAUUUAUAAAUGUGUAUGUAGGUUUUUAUGAAUAUUAGUGCCGAAUUUAGUCUUUUAGCUUGCCUUGGCCAGGCUUGUGGUUAUGGCUAGUAAUAAUUUGUAUGCAUUAUAAGCCCAUGAAGUUGGACAAUGUUGCACAAAUAAAUCUUGGUGUGUUGGUUUGGAGAAUUCUUAAAUGGAUUAGCUGGAGCAGAGAUUCAACACAUUCAUGUUUCUCAAUGCUCAUGACUCAUGAGAUGCGUCAGAGGAUCACAAUAUUACAACCAAACUCUUGAGAAGUGAUUCAAUUUAUAAGACACAGAAGUUACCAAAAUAGCAUCUGCAAGACACCUUUCAUGUAUAACUGGGCUUUGGUUAGAUGACUCAAUAACAACUAGUUCAUGCCAAAAUAGAAUGGACAGAGACCAUUUUCUCAUGCCCCUUGUCUUUUAGUAUCCUGUGGAGUAAUUGAGUGGAAUAUGGUCCAUGUUGUGAUAUGCUGGACUACUUGGAAGAAAAGCAAUUGAUAGAUUUUUUUACAGAGUAGAAUGAUAUUUUCUUGCUUUUGUACAGAUGACUGAAGUUUCUUAGUUUAUUGGGCUUUGAAGUUUGGCCUUGAAUGAUUUCAAAACCAUGGCAAGAAUGGAUGUUAUUUUCAAUUGGUUGACUGCUUUGAGAGUAGAUGUGGUCAUUGGAAGCUUCUUGGGGGACUUGGGGGUCCCCUUUUUGAUUGCUUGUCAAGAAAAAAAAUGUUGGCAGCUAAAGAUAUCACGUCUCAAUGAUAAUGUGCAAUUUGUGGAAUUGCUAUUAUAGAACACAAUACCCAUUUUUGAGAUUUUAGCUGAUGCUGGAUUUCUUUUCUCCUAGAAGACAGCAGUAACUAGUGUGGGUAGCUCUGGAAAUGGGCAGGAUAAAAAUGAACUUUGAUGGAUGAUGUUGAUACCGAAAUAGGGGAACCACAAAUUUGUUGUUAGAAUUGAAUCUUACUGCUAUUGCUCUGAGAAGGGAGGGGGACCUGAAGAAAAUAAAAUGAAUACUUUUAUAAGGAGCUCUUGUUGGAUGAUUUAAUGUUUGAGAGUGGGUGUAGUAUUUAUUUUCUUGAUAGAUGCAGGUCAGUUCUGGUCUAAGAUUUUUCAGAUUUCGUGCCGUAUUUAUUUUCUUGAUUUACUUGUUUAAGGCUGGUUGUGUAGUUGUUAUUUUAAGUAGUGAGUGGGGGACUGGGACUUCUUUCUCUUUCUCGGGUGGUUUUUCUUAUUUUUAUUUUAAUAGAUUUUCAUUUUCUAUAAACAAUUGAUAACCUCCUCAGUUAUUCAGGCCAAGCUGGUGAAGCAAUAUCAUGAUGUGUUUGCUCUCCUUCAAGGUUUAAGACUAACAUUCUCCUCAGGAUGGAGGGACUGAUUGUGGAAGUGGACUGUCAAGUGGUUAUUGGGCAGGUGUCCUCAAGUGCAGGUGGUCCUUGGUCCACCAGUCUUGAUUAUGGAAGGAAAGGUAUUUCGAGAAAGUCUGUACUGAUUGGUCAGGUGGAUUCCAAGGCCUGCAAACAGCUUAGCAAAUGAGCAAAAGCAGGAGUAACAAAGAUUGGUCUGGUUUGGAGGAGGGCUUAUUUGUAGAACUUACGAAUUCUGUAUUUCAGUCAUACCACUCUUGUAUUUGUUCCUUUCAUUCAAAACAUUUUGUGAUGUUGGUUUUUUUAUUAACAGUUCUGAUUACUAUUGCUAAUAGAUAGAAAAUACUUGAUCCUUAUUUUUCAUUCACAUUGUAAAUAAUUUACUUCAUAGUUCUACUUAUGGAACCAAUUGAGAUUAAAUGAUGAGAGGAUUUUGAAAAUGUUGGUACCGGAAAACAUUGGUUGUUCAAGGGGAUAGUCUACAGUUAAGUUGAUGAUCCCUUUUGCUUCGUGUAUUUUUUCCACUCAUUGGUUGAGAGCAGCCACCAUUUGAUAUCAUAAGUUGGAGAUUGCUGUUCUUGCUGCUUAUUUAUAUUUACUUGAGCUGACUAAUUUUGCUCAAUCUACUUUUUGUGUCAAUGAAAAAGAAAGUCUGAAAGGGUGAAUCAGAUGUUAUAUUAUAUGGUGCAACAACACAGUAUAUACUGCCAACAGCUCAAAAUAUUAAUGUGGCACUAUGAACUGAUGAAGGGCUGACCAUAAAACUAUAUUGCUACUUAAGCCUAGUCAUACAUGAUUUCUUGAUUGCUUGUUGCUUGAUAGUCAGAGUGAAUCUUAAUCGUUGAACAGUUUUUUACACUUGAAUUGGCAGGUUUGCUUAAACCCAAGAUCAAAGUAUGAGCCAUUUGCCAUGUACUUUGGAAGUGAAGAUAGGUGACCAUUUGUAGUAGGGUUUGAAAAAAGUUUGUUUUAUCCUUCUUUACUUGUAUGCUUGCAAUUGAAAAUUGGAGGACAAUGUUUUUCUGCCUGGCACCACACCAAUAAUGGAUACUUAAGUUGAGCAUGCUCCUCUUGGGAGUUCAUUGUUGACGACCUUGUAACAGGAGAAAGAGCAUCUAAUGAGCAAUAUGAAUCCUAUGAAGGGUGGUAAUGGUGAUGGAACUGUCAGAUCCCCCCAUUUGGUUAUGGUCCAUUAGAUUUUAGUGGGUUCUAGCUUAAAGGAGGGAGAAAUAAAACAAAUUGAGCUUAAGGAUUGAGUGAUGCACUUAGUAAUUUACGUUAACACAAGAAAUGGGCCACAUGCUGGUGGAGACUUAUUUUUCUGGUGUAUCUUGGAAAGAACUAUUGGAUUUAUAGUUGUGGGUAAGAAAGUGGUCCAGUGUGCACAAGUUUUAGAAUUUUGAUUAUUAUAUGGCGUUUCAUUUGAUGCCUUGAACAGGCAUGAGGGGUUUUCGGCUGGCAGUAUGCUCUAUUUACCUAACCACUUGUUUUGAUUAUUCAUCCAGACAAUAGUUAUAACAUCUGGUGGAGGGAGGAGCCUGAAAGAAAUUCCCUUUAUGGUCGCUUGAGGCUUCUUGGAAUCAGCUGAAUCAAGAUGUGUUUAGGGUAGAAAAGUUCCCCCUCGUAUAGAAUCCUUCAUGUGGUUGGUGUUCCAUGAUAAAAUUCUAAUUAUUGUUUGCUUGGAUAAUAGGGGUAUGCAGAUUCAAAGUUGUUCUAUUUGUAGAUCUUCUGAGGAAUUGUUUUAUCAGUUCUUUCUUUUAGGUUGACUGUUCGAGAGAAACGUAAUAAAAGAUAUUUUGCACAUGAGCAUGGGCCUUUUGUGCUUCUUUGCUUUGAAUGUUUGUUGUUGCUUGAUGGGCUGGGCUCUUGUUCUUAAUGAGUUAAAGCAUCUGAGAUAUAAAGAUUUUAUCUAUAGGUGGUAUUACAUAGUACGUUCUAGGUGUAGAGGGUGUUAGACUGUAAAGUACUGGACUGAGGGCUAUUUGCAUAUCUUGUUUCACAUACUUUCUUUCAAUAAAAAUUUUCAACUGCUUAUCCCAAAAUUGUUUUGUACAUGUCAUGCAAGCAUAGAGAAGGGGAGAUUUGGGGGAAAUUAUAUAUUGCUAAUGGAUACUAAUUUGGUGAGAGUUUUUCUUGUAUAUCCUUUUACUCUGCCUGCUAUUAAUGACAUUUUUUGCCAUUAGUGAAGUUCGAAAUCAUUGCUAUUUAUCAUAAAGAGUGUUUCUUUGUCAUACAUAUCUAAUGUCUUAAACAUGGUCUCUGACUCUCUGGAGUUUUUAAUGUUUCCAGUUCUGAUGUUUUCUUCUCUGUUCAUGUUCUGCAGUCAAGUGUUGCUUCCCUUGUUUAUCAAAGAUGAUGGAAAAGUUGCUAGGUCACUGGGGACGGGGACGGGGACGGGGACGGGGACGGGGACCGUCGGCGUCAUGGCAUAUUGGCAUGACAUUUUGGUCAGGCCAUUUGAUUAGGGGGCAAAGGAUUCAUUCAGCCCAGUUGGGGCUUGGGGGUUGAGACCCCAGCCAAUUCCCUAAUCCUGCUAUUUCAGGGUUCAGGGGUUGGAACCCAAAGUCUCUCCACCCCCGCCACGGCAGAGAUGCUUCUGAGUUCUGACCCUUGGAGCAAAUGCUGCAAAAAGGGGGUGUAAUUAGUAAAUAAAAAGAAAUGCGUUCAACGUUAAGGUUUCAGCGGAGGAUACUAGAUGGUUUUUAGGAAGUAGGAUCCUCGCUGGAGCAGUUCAAUGCUCAAAUCUACUUGCGACUGGACCGGUCGGUCGUGUGCAAAUCUACUUGCGACUGUAGAAAAGGGUCAGGGGUCCAGUCCUGUUGCGAUGUUACCAAUUUGCCUUCUGCUGCGACAUUCAUAAUUCAAUUGCCUAGCGGAAUUUAUAAUUUUUAACGUCUAUUAAAAGAUUUGAACACUGCUGAUUCCAUAAGAGUUGGGCCUUCCACCGUUCCCCGACGGUUGGAUAACAAUCGACAACAUCAAAUAAAACAAAAGUUCAACAACUCCUUUUAAGGGGGAAA